rnacentral:rRNA from 1 species
CCUACGGGAGGCAGCAGUGAGGAAUAUUGGUCAAUGGACGAGAGUCUGAACCAGCCAAGUAGCGUGAAGGAUGACUGCCCUAUGGGUUGUAAACUUCUUUUAUAAAGGAAUAAAACGAGGCACGUGUGCCUUUUUGCAUGUACUUUAUGAAUAAGGAUCGGCUAACGCCGUGCCAGCCGCCGCGGUAAUACGGAGGAUCCGAGCGUUAUCCGGAUUUAUUGGGUUUAAAGGGAGCGUAGAUGGGUUGUUAAGUCAGUUGUGAAAGUUUGCGGCUCAACCGUAAAAUUGCAAUUGAUACUGGCAGUCUUGAGUACAGUUGAGGUAGGCGGAAUUCGUGGUGUAGCGGUGAAAUGCUUAGAUAUCACGAAGAACCCCGAUUGCGAAGGCAGCUUACUAAACUGUGACUGACAUUGAUGCUCGAAAGUGUGGGUAUCAAACAGGAUUAGAUACCCGUGUAGUC